rnacentral:lncRNA from 1 species
UGCCACCACACCUGGCUAAUUUUUGAAUUUUUUGUAGAAAUGGGGUUUCACCAUGUCGGUCAGGCUGGUCUUGAACUCCUGACCUCAAGUAGUCCACCUGCCUCGGCCUCCCAAAGUGCUGGGAUUACAGGCAUGAGCCACUGCGCCUGGCCUAUUGGUUGGAAUUAUGUUGUAAAGAAGUGCUUUUGUUUCUCCCCCAUUUGCUUAUUAUCACUGUGGAUAUUUGGGUUUGCAUUUUAUUCAGUGAGUUAUAAUCUGUUACUGUCCUUAUGGAUUCCGGUGCUCUAGAGCUCUCGUCCCAGAUUUGGCUACUGAGAGCUCCUUCA